rnacentral:rRNA from 1 species
AUUGAACGCUGGCGGCAGGCUUAACACAUGCAAGUCGAGCGAGCGGCGGACGGGUGAGUAAUGUCUGGGAAACUGCCUGAUGGAGGGGGAUAACUACUGGAACCGGUAGCUAAUACCGCAUACCAUCAGAUGUUCCCAGAUGGGAUUAUCUAGUAGGUGGGGUAAUGGCUCACCUAGUCGACGCUCCCUAGCUGGUCUGAGAGGAUGACCAGCCAAACUGGAACUGAGACACGGUCCAGACGACUACGGGAGGCAGCAGUGGGGAAUAUUGCACAAUGGGCGCAAGCCUGAUGCAGCAAUGCCGCGUGUGUGAAGAAGGCCUUCGGGUUGUAAAGCACUUUCAGCGAGGAGGCGUUACUCGCAGAAGAAGCACCGGCUAACUCCGUGCCAGCAGCCGCGGUAAUAC